CAGCCGUAAACAAUGUGCGUUAGGUGUGUCGGUAACCACGUGUUACUGAUGCGCCGAAGAGAAAUCGUGAAACGCACCACCUGGGAAGUACGGUCGCAAGGCUGAAACUUAAAGGAAUUGGCGGGGGAGGCACCGCAACGGGAGGAGCGUGCGGUCUAAUUGGAUUCAACACCGUAAACUACACCAGGGAAGACUGUUACAUGAAAGCCGAGAUGAAGACUCUGCUAGAUUUUCAGAGAGGAGGUGCAUGGCGUCAGUGACU
rnacentral:rRNA from 1 species